rnacentral:rRNA from 1 species
UGGGGAAUUUUCCGCAAUGGGCGAAAGCCUGACGGAGCGACGCCGCGUGCAGGAUGAAGGAUUUCGGUCUGUAAACUGCUGUCAGGGGGGACGAUGAUGACGGUACCCCCAAAGGAAGCAUCGGCUAACUACGUGCCAGCAGCCGCGGUAAGACGUAGGAUGCGAGCGUUGUUCGGAUUUAUUGGGCGUAAAGCGUGCGUAGGCGGUUUCAUAAGUCUGGUGUAAAAGCUAGGGGCUCAACCCCUGUGAUGCCCUGGAAACUGUGAGACUUGAGUACGGUAGGGGAAGGUGGAAUUCCCAGUGUAGCGGUGAAAUGCGUAGAUAUUGGGAAGAACACCGGUGGCGAAGGCGACCUUCUGGGCCGUCACUGACGCUGAGGCACGAAAGCUUGGGGAGCAAACGGGAUUAGAUACCCCCGUAGUCC